rnacentral:rRNA from 1 species
AUUGAACGCUGGCGGCAGGCCUAACACAUGCAAGUCGAGCGGAUGAAGGGAGCUUGCUCCUGGAUUCAGCGGCGGACGGGUGAGUAAUGCCUAGGAAUCUGCCUGGUAGUGGGGGAUAACGUCCGGAAACGGGCGCUAAUACCGCAUACGUCCUGAGGGAGAAAGUGGGGGAUCUUCGGACCUCACGCUAUCAGAUGAGCCUAGGUCGGAUUAGCUAGUUGGUGGGGUAAAGGCCUACCAAGGCGACGAUCCGUAACUGGUCUGAGAGGAUGAUCAGUCACACUGGAACGGAGACGCGGUCCAGACUCCUACGGGAGGCAGCAGUGGGGAAUAGUGGACUAUGGGCGGAAGCCUGAUCCAGCCAUGCCGCGUGUGUGAAGAAGGUCUGCGGAUUGUAGAGCUCUUUAAGUUGGGAGGAAGGGCAGUAAGUUAAUACCGUGCUGUAUUGACGUUACCAACAGAAUAAGCACCGGCUAACUUCGUG